UACGUAGGGUGCAAGCGUUAAUCGGAAUUACUGGGCGUAAAGCGUGCGCAGGCGGUUUUGUAAGUCUGUUGUGAAAUCCCCGGGCUCAACCUGGGAAUGGCAAUGGAGACUGCAAGGCUAGAGUUUGGCAGAGGGGGGUAGAAUUCCACGUGUAGCGGUGAAAUGCGUAGAUAUGUGGAGGAACACCGAUGGCGAAGGCAGCCCCCUGGGUCAAAACUGACGCUCAUGCACGAAAGCGUGGGGAGCAAACAGG
rnacentral:rRNA from 1 species